rnacentral:rRNA from 1 species
CAGCAGCCGCGGGAAUACAGAGGGUGCGAGCGUUAAUCGGAUUUACUGGGCGUAAAGCGUGCGUAGGCGGCUUCUUAAGUCGGAUGUGAAAUCCCUGAGCUUAACUUAGGAAUUGCAUUCGAUACUGGGAAGUUAGAGUAUGGGAGAGGAUGGUAGAAUUCCAGGUGUAGCGGUGAAAUGCGUAGAGAUCUGGAGGAAUACCGAUGGCGAAGGCAGCCAUCUGGCCUAAUACUGACGCUGAGGUACGAAAGCAUGGGGAGCAAACAGGAUUAGAUACCCCUGUAGUCCCUGUCUCUUAUAC